rnacentral:lncRNA from 1 species
GGCCGAAUAAAUCCCUUCCCCAGCAACUCCUGAAGCUGCGAGGAUAACUCUUGCAUCUCUGGAGGUGCAAGACGAUAAGGCACCUUAGCUAUAGGCGCAGCCCCCGGAACCAAAUCAAUACUAAACUCUACUUGCCUCACAGGAGGUACUCCCGGCAGCUCCUCGGGAAAAACAUCUGGAACCAAAUCAAUACCAAACUCCACUUGCCUCACAGGAGGUACUCCCGGCAGCUCCUCGGGAAAAACAUCUGGAGGUACUCCCGGCAGCUCCUCGGGAAAAACAUCUGGAACCAAAUCAAUACCAAACUCCACUUGCCUCACAGGAGGUACUCCCGGCAGCUCCUCGGGAAAAACAUCUGGAAACUCACGCACCACUGGGACCUCCUCAACUGAUCUCGGUCUCUCGGAAGCCUCCCGUGUAUCCAUCACAUACGCCACAAAACCCUUACAGCCCUGCUGUAGACACUGCCUCGCCCUAGCGGCCGAACAAAAAGCUGAUCCCGAA